rnacentral:rRNA from 1 species
ACGGGAGGCAGCAGUGGGGAAUAUUGCACAAUGGGGGAAACCCUGAUGCAGCAACGCCGCGUGAGUGAAGAAGUAUUUCGGUAUGUAAAGCUCUAUCAGCAGGGAAGAUAAUGACGGUACCUGACUAAGAAGCUCCGGCUAAAUACGUGCCAGCAGCCGCGGUAAUACGUAUGGAGCAAGCGUUAUCCGGAUUUACUGGGUGUAAAGGGUGUGUAGGCGGCAAGGCAAGUCAGAAGUGAAAUGCCGGGGCUCAACUCCGGAGCUGCUUUUGAAACUGCCAUGCUGGAGUCCAGGAGAGGCAGGCGGAAUUCCUAGUGUAGCGGUGAAAUGCGUAGAUAUUAGGAAGAACACCAGUGGCGAAGGCGGCCUGCUGGACUGGAACUGACGCUGAGGCACGAAAGCGUGGGGAGCAAACAGGAUUAGAUACCCUGGUA